AUUGAACGCUGGCGGCAGGCCUAACACAUGCAAGUCGAGCGGCAGCGGAAAGUAGCUUGCUACUUUGCCGGCGAGCGGCGGACGGGUGAGUAAUGUCUGGGAAACUGCCUGAUGGAGGGGGAUAACUACUGGAAACGGUAGCUAAUACCGCAUGACCUCGAAAGAGCAAAGUGGGGGAUCUUCGGACCUCACGCCAUCGGAUGUGCCCAGAUGGGAUUAGCUAGUAGGUGAGGUAAUGGCUCACCUAGGCGACGAUCCCUAGCUGGUCUGAGAGGAUGACCAGCCACACUGGAACUGAGACACGGUCCAGACUCCUACGGGAGGCAGCAGUGGGGAAUAUUGCACAAUGGGCGCAAGCCUGAUGCAGCCAUGCCGCGUGUGUGAAGAAGGCCUUAGGGUUGUAAAGCACUUUCAGCGAGGAGGAAGGCACCAUACUUAAUACGUGUGGUGAUUGACGUUACUCGCAGAAGAAGCACCGGCUAACUCCGUGCCAGCAGCCGCGGUAAUACGGAGGGUGCAAGCGUUAAUCGGAAUUACUGGGCGUAAAGCGCACGCAGGCGGUUUGUUAAGUCAGAUGUGAAAUCCCCGCGCUUAACGUGGGAACUGCAUUUGAAACUGGCAAGCUAGAGUCUUGUAGAGGGGGGUAGAAUUCCAGGUGUAGCGGUGAAAUGCGUAGAGAUCUGGAGGAAUACCGGUGACGAAGGCGGCCCCCUGGACAAAGACUGACGCUCAGGUGCGAAAGCGUGGGGAGCAAACAGG
rnacentral:rRNA from 1 species